rnacentral:rRNA from 1 species
UACGAAGGGGGCUAGCGUUGUUCGGAUUUACUGGGCGUAAAGCGCACGUAGGCGGAUUUUUAAGUCAGGGGUGAAAUCCCGGGGCUCAACCCCGGAACUGCCUUUGAUACUGGAAGUCUUGAGUAUGGUAGAGGUGAGUGGAAUUCCGAGUGUAGAGGUGAAAUUCGUAGAUAUUCGGAGGAACACCAGUGGCGAAGGCGGCUCACUGGACCGAUUAC